rnacentral:rRNA from 1 species
AAAACAUCGCCUCCUGCAACACAACCAAGUAUAGGAGGUCCAGCCUGCCCGGUGACUACAAGUUUAACGGCCGCGGUAUUUUGACCGUGCAAAGGUAGCGCAAUCACUUGUCUUUUAAAUAGAGACCUGUAUGAAUGGCCAAACGAGGGCUUAACUGUCUCCCCUUUCCAGUCAGUGAAAUUGAUCUGCCCGUGCAGAAGCGGACAUAAUAAUACAAGACGAGAAGACCCUUUGGAGCUUAAGGUACAAAAAUCAACCACGUAAAGCAACUCAAUAAGAAGAAUAAACUUUGUGGGAAAUGAAAUUUUACCUUCGGUUGGGGCGACCACGGAGAAAAGUAAAUCCUCCAAGUGGAUUGGGGCUAAAUCCCCUAAAACCAAGAGAAACAUCUCUAAGCCACAGAACAUCUGACCAAACAUGAUCCGGCCAAUAAAGCCGAUCAACGAACCAAGUUACCCUAGGGAUAACAGCGCAAUCCUCUCCCAGAGUCCAUAUCGACGAGGGGGUUUACGACCUCGAUGUUGGAUCAGGACAUCCUAAUGGUGCAGCCGCUAUUAAGGGUUCGUUUGUUCAACGAUUAAAGUCCUACGUGA